UUAAGCGACUAAGCGUACACGGUGGAUGCCCUGGCAGUCAGAGGCGAUGAAGGACGUGCUAAUCUGCGAAAAGCGUCGGUAAGGUGAUAUGAACCGUUAUAACCGGCGAUGUCCGAAUGGGGAAACCCAGUGUGAUUCGUCACACUAUCGUUAACUGAAUACAUAGGUUAACGAGGCGAACCGGGGGAACUGAAACAUCUAAGUACCCCGAGGAAAAGAAAUCAACCGAGAUUCCCCCAGUAGCGGCGAGCGAACGGGGAGCAGCCCAGAGUCUGAAUCAGCUUGUGUGUUAGUGGAACGGUCUGGAAAGUCCGACGGUACAGGGUGAUAGUCCCGUACACCAAAAUGCACAGGCUGUGAACUCGAAGAGUAGGGCGGGACACGUGGUAUCCUGUCUGAAUAUGGGGGGACCAUCCUCCAAGGCUAAAUACUCCUGACUGACCGAUAGUGAACCAGUACCGUGAGGGAAAGGCGAAAAGAACCCCGGCGAGGGGAGUGAAAAAGAACCUGAAACCGUGUACGUACAAGCAGUGGGAGCACCUUCGGGUGUGACUGCGUACCUUUUGUAUAAUGGGUCAGCGACUUAUAUUCUGUAGCAAGGUUAACCGUAUAGGGGAGCCGCAGGGAAACCGAGUCUUAACUGGGCGUUAAGUUGCAGGGUAUAGACCCGAAACCCGGUGAUCUAGCCAUGGGCAGGUUGAAGGUUGGGUAACACUAACUGGAGGACCGAACCGACUAAUGUUGAAAAAUUAGCGGAUGACUUGUGGCUGGGGGUGAAAGGCCAAUCAAACCGGGAGAUAGCUGGUUCUCCCCGAAAGCUAUUUAGGUAGCGCCUCGUGAACUCAUCUUCGGGGGUAGAGCACUGUUUCGGCUAGGGGGUCAUCCCGACUUACCAACCCGAUGCAAACUACGAAUACCGAAGAAUGUUAUCACGGGAGACACACGGCGGGUGCUAACGUCCGUCGUGAAGAGGGAAACAACCCAGACCGCCAGCUAAGGUCCCAAAGUCAUGGUUAAGUGGGAAACGAUGUGGGAAGGCACAGACAGCCAGGAUGUUGGCUUAGAAGCAGCCAUCAUUUAAAGAAAGCGUAAUAGCUCACUGGUCGAGUCGGCCUGCGCGGAAGAUGUAACGGGGCUAAACCAUGCACCGAAGCUGCGGCAGCGACACUAUGUGUUGUUGGGUAGGGGAGCGUUCUGUAAGCCUGCGAAGGUGACCUGUGAGGGUUGCUGGAGGUAUCAGAAGUGCGAAUGCUGACAUAAGUAACGAUAAAGCGGGUGAAAAGCCCGCUCGCCGGAAGACCAAGGGUUCCUGUCCAACGUUAAUCGGGGCAGGGUGAGUCGACCCCUAAGGCGAGGCCGAAAGGCGUAGUCGAUGGGAAACAGGUUAAUAUUCCUGUACUUGGUGUUACUGCGAAGGGGGGACGGAGAAGGCUAUGUUAGCCGGGCGACGGUUGUCCCGGUUUAAGCAUGUAGGCUGGUUAUCCAGGCAAAUCCGGAUAAUCAAGGCUGAGGUGUGAUGACGAGGCACUACGGUGCUGAAGUAACAAAUGCCCUGCUUCCAGGAAAAGCCUCUAAGCAUCAGGUAACAUCAAAUCGUACCCCAAACCGACACAGGUGGUCAGGUAGAGAAUACCAAGGCGCUUGAGAGAACUCGGGUGAAGGAACUAGGCAAAAUGGUGCCGUAACUUCGGGAGAAGGCACGCUGGUGUGUAGGUGAAGCCCCUGCGGGUGGAGCUGAGACCAGUCGAAGAUACCAGCUGGCUGCAACUGUUUAUUAAAAACACAGCACUGUGCAAACACGAAAGUGGACGUAUACGGUGUGACGCCUGCCCGGUGCCGGAAGGUUAAUUGAUGGGGUUAUCCGUAAGGAGAAGCUCUUGAUCGAAGCCCCGGUAAACGGCGGCCGUAACUAUAACGGUCCUAAGGUAGCGAAAUUCCUUGUCGGGUAAGUUCCGACCUGCACGAAUGGCGUAAUGAUGGCCAGGCUGUCUCCACCCGAGACUCAGUGAAAUUGAACUCGCUGUGAAGAUGCAGUGUACCCGCGGCAAGACGGAAAGACCCCGUGAACCUUUACUAUAGCUUGACACUGAACAUUGAGCCUUGAUGUGUAGGAUAGGUGGGAGGCUUUGAAGCGUGGACGCCAGUCUGCGUGGAGCCAACCUUGAAAUACCACCCUUUAAUGUUUGAUGUUCUAACGUUGGCCCCUUACCGGGGUUGCGGACAGUGUCUGGUGGGUAGUUUGACUGGGGCGGUCUCCUCCCAAAGCGUAACGGAGGAGCACGAAGGUUAGCUAAUCCUGGUCGGACAUCAGGAGGUUAGUGCAAUGGCAUAAGCUAGCUUGACUGCGAGCGUGACGGCGCGAGCAGGUGCGAAAGCAGGUCAUAGUGAUCCGGUGGUUCUGAAUGGAAGGGCCAUCGCUCAACGGAUAAAAGGUACUCCGGGGAUAACAGGCUGAUACCGCCCAAGAGUUCAUAUCGACGGCGGUGUUUGGCACCUCGAUGUCGGCUCAUCACAUCCUGGGGCUGAAGUAGGUCCCAAGGGUAUGGCUGUUCGCCAUUUAAAGUGGUACGCGAGCUGGGUUUAGAACGUCGUGAGACAGUUCGGUCCCUAUCUGCCGUGGGCGCUGGAGAAUUGAGGGGGGCUGCUCCUAGUACGAGAGGACCGGAGUGGACGCAUCACUGGUGUUCGGGUUGUCAUGCCAAUGGCACUGCCCGGUAGCUAAAUGCGGAAGAGAUAAGUGCUGAAAGCAUCUAAGCACGAAACUUGCCCCGAGAUGAGUUCUCCCUGAGACUUUAAGUCUCCUGAAGGAACGUUGAAGACGACGACGUUGAUAGGCCGGGUGUGUAAGCGCAGCGAUGCGUUGAGCUAACCGGUACUAAUGAACCGUGAGGCUUAACCU
rnacentral:rRNA from 1 species